rnacentral:rRNA from 1 species
AUUGAACGCUGGCGGCAUGCUUUACACAUGCAAGUCGAACGGUAACAGGCCUUCGGGUGCUGACGAGUGGCGAACGGGUGAGUAAUGCAUCGGAACGUACCCGGAGGUGGGGGAUAACGCAGCGAAAGCUGUGCUAAUACCGCAUGUGAUCUGAGGAUGAAAGCGGGGGACCGAGCAGCAAUGUUUGGCCUCGCGCCUUUGGAGCGGCCGAUGUCGGAUUAGCUAGUUGGUGGGGUAAAGGCCUACCAAGGCGACGAUCCGUAGCUGGUCUGAGAGGACGACCAGCCACACUGGGACUGAGACACGGCCCAGACUCCUACGGGAGGCAGCAGUGGGGAAUUUUGGACAAUGGGCGCAAGCCUGAUCCAGCAAUGCCGCGUGCGGGAAGAAGGCCUUCGGGUUGUAAACCGCUUUUGGCAGGAACGAAACGGUGUCCGCUAAUACCGGGCGCUAAUGACGGUACCUGCAGAAUAAGCACCGGCUAACUACGUG